GUACGAGUGCGUCCCUCCCGAAGCUGCGCUCGGUCGAAGAGGACGACCUUCCCCGAAUAGAGGAGGACCGGUCUUCGGUCAAGGGUAUACGAGUAGCUGCGCUCCCCUGCUAGAACCUCCAAACAAGCUCUCAAGGUCAGGAUGAAAUAUUUUAAUGUAGGAGAAAACUGUUACACAGCAGAUACAAAGAGAGAUACAUUCAUUCCCACAUUCAUGAAU
rnacentral:snRNA from 1 species